UUAUUCAUGGACUCUUCACCACUGUACCGUACGUGAAGGGCCUCGUCCAUGAUCCACCUAACUCUUUGUGAAGCAACUAAGCAACCAAUGACCUAUCUGCAGUUCUGCGUUGCGCUACACAAAAAAGGAACCCAUGUGUACAUCCAUCUUAGCUAGUUGACCUUUGUUAAUUCCGGCAUGUGUCUGCCUUGGAAGCUUCUACAUGGUGGCUGGCUCCAUCGCCACAAGUUGUAGCUACCUUGCCAGCAGUACUGCAUGCAAUGCAUCCAUCUAUCCGAUGUGACCACCAGUGUAAGCUCUUUGGCGCAUACAUAGUACAAUGCACAAGUGGCACCAACACCGUGUUCAACAUAGGCCGCAAUGAAACGGAGUGAUGGCCAAAGAACGGAAGAACCUAUGCAAGAAAGGAGUCAGCUGACAGAGUUAGGCUUCCACAUACCAGAAAAUCAUGUUGUUGAACUUCAGCAAUGCACCCAACAUUUUUCAUGAACAACCACCAAAACAAUAUGGAAAGGCUAGUCUGCAAGUUUGCAAGAGAACAUAUUGGCUUAUACAGCACUAGUACGAGAAUAAUCUUGCGCCCCGUUUGGCAGCUCUCCGCUCCGCAGCUCCGUGCCGGAGCGGAGCGGGCCGCAGCCUGCUUUCUCGGAGUGGCCGAAGGGUCGCUCCGUGCACUCCAUGGAGUUGGAUGACUGCCGAAUAGGGCUUUGGUUUCAUCUAAAUUUGUCUGCGUUUAUGCAUAUGACUGCAGUAGCUGAUAGCUCGACUAUCAUGACAGCCUUCUAUGAGGAGAAGCAGCAGUAAUAACUAUUUUUAGUGUAGGCCUUAAGUAUGGCAUAAAAAGGGGAUCACACACCAAACCUGCGAAGGGAAGCAACAACAAUCUCUCCAGGUAAUAGGCUGAAACCUCUCGCCAGCCUUUUGAGUUAGCUGAUGAGCUUGUAGAAUAUCCAUUACUCUUCACAACUCAAAAUAACAGUGUUACAGCUGCCACUUUCUCAGACAUUUUGGUGGUUACCUUCUUAACCCUGCCAGAAACCACACGCGGUCACUCAUUCAGAGUUUGAGACCAACAACAAAACUAAUAUCCGAUCGAGAUUAUCUGUGUACUGUGUAAUUAAGCUCAAGGAAAAUAAAAUUCAAUAUUCCCAUCAUAACAACUAAUCACGCAAUAAGACAUCAGGAUUAGUUGGACCAAUCAGCACAAGCUACAUAAAACAUGCGGUGCUAUGUGCCUCGAGUUCGCUGAUGAACAAUGUGACAUCACUCACAAGGCACAUGGGUUAGACUCCUUACUCAUCUGAAUGUAUCUUUAUGCUCAAAUGAUAUACGAUAUAUUUAGCACCUCGAGAUUAUAUCAACAUAACGUACUUAGCAGUAAAGCAAGCUUAAAAAUGUCAAUCCUGUCGUCACAAAUAAACAAUAAAUACACUCCCCAGUCUAAACCUUAAAAAAAUGCAGAUAUUCACAAUCACGGGGCAUUUGACGCGACCACUCAGGAUUAUUCCUAAAGAUCAAACUAAGGCAUCAAGCCAUAGUUACGAUUCAGCAGGGCAAGACCAAAAGCUACAUAGCACCAGGGAUAGCAAAAAACAGGGCCGGGCCGAGGGGUAUCCAGCCUGUGCGGACGGCACAGGGCCCCAACUUUCUAGGGGCCCCGAAUUUUUCCAAAGCCUGUGGUCAGUUCAGCGCAUCCGCACAAAUAGGCCUACACCAUCAGGGCCCCUGGAUUCUAAACAUAGGCCUGCUCAGCGGAUGCCCAGGGACCAGAGGGACACCUGUUUAAUUGAUUCGUCUAAACUGGUACUACCGUGCUCACUCCUGAUUAAUCUUUUUCCUGUCACUUAUGAUGACAACUUUCAAUCAAGAAUAGUAAAGUACUCCCUCCGUCCGGGUUUAUUAGGCCUCUUAGCAUCACAAGCAUGUCCCUUUUUAUAAGGCCUCGCUUUGGAAAGGUGCAUGCGUGCAACCAUUUCAUUGGUUGCAUUGAAAGCCAUUGUUGUUGGUGCCAUGAAUGGGAAAUUAAUACACUUCAUGCGUGCUUUUUCAUUGGCUGCAUGCAUGUGAGAGAGUGCAUUGAGAGUGGAAUUGAAGAAUUAAUGUGAGCAAAUUAUUAUGUGUCUUGGUCUAAGAGAAGUUGUCUUUAGGCCUAAUAAACCCGGACGGAGGGAGUAGUAAACCAAAUAUAAAUUGGGAGAUUAAGCUACAUGGUUUUAGUUCUUGUGAUUAAGUUUUAUGGAUUUCUUUGGUGAUUUUUUCAAAGAAGAUUUUGCACUUAGAUUAAUUAGGGCCCGUAUUAUAGUUUGGCACAGUGGUGAAGUCCUCCCCACUUGUGCCAAGAGGUCCUGGGUUCGAACCAGCCUCUCUGCAUUGCACUUUGCAGGGGUAAGACUAGGUUCCUAUAAUCCCUCCCCAGACCCCACCUUGUGUGGGAGCUUCUAUGCACUGGGUCUGUCAUUAUAGUUUGGCACAGGGUUCCUAGUUUUGCCGGCCCGGCCCUGGCAAACAACAGAACUAGUAAAAGGCAUGUAAGUACCUCCAUGAUUAGAUGAAUAAUUUAAAGAGAUUGUCCCUACCUGUCAUAAGAUUUGUAACUCAACUGAAAUACUCUUAAAGAACAAUGAGAUACUCAUGUUGGACACCAUACCAGAGUAUGAAUUAUGAAGUGCCAAAAGCCAGAGACAAUCCAGUUCCUUACAGUCCACAACUUUAACCUUUUGGGUUCUGUAAGAUGAGUUGCAUAUCUUCUAAAAAGAAUUCAAAUGAUCUGUUGGAUUAGGUCAGACUCAUAAUGUGCAAAUGUGAUAAGUCCAGGCCUAUGGAGACUAUGGUCAACAAAAUCUUGCCACUGACUCCCUUUGGAAGAAUAUCAAGAUUGGUUUGCGCUCUAACAUUUUGACAUCGCCCUUUGACUUUCUUGUGGAAAAAUGUUGUUUUCCUUCUGAAAAAUGUUGCUGCUGACAGAUUUGAAAACUGAGAAAUUCUCUUCGGAGAAAAGUUGUUUUCCUUCUGUAUCAUAAAGUUGACAAUCACUUUGAUUUCAGCCUUGAA
rnacentral:lncRNA from 1 species